UACGAAGGGGGCUAGCGUUGCUCGGAAUCACUGGGCGUAAAGGGCGCGUAGGCGGCCGUUCAAGUCGGGGGUGAAAGCCCGGGGCUCAACUCCGGAAUUGCCUUUAAGACUGCAUCGCUAGAAUUGUGGAGAGGUAAGUGGAAUUCCGAGUGUAGAGGUGAAAUUCGUAGAUAUUCGGAAGAACACCAGUGGCGAAGGCGACUUACUGGACACAUAUUGACGCUGAGGUGCGAAAGCGUGGGGAGCAAACAGG
rnacentral:rRNA from 1 species